UUUUGGGGAGAAUUUGGGGGGUUUGGGGGACUCAACUCCAAUGGUCAUUUUUAGAAGUGCCUCGGGGACGAUUUGGGGUCAUUUGGGCUGAUUUUGGGGCAGUUGGGUGGUGAGUUUUUUUUGGGGGGGGGGCUGGGCCCAUUUUGGGGAGAUUUCGGGCGAUUUUGGGGUGGUUUGGGGGUGAUUUUGGGGUGAAUCCGUCGCGUUCUGGAUGCGCUGCGUUGGGGGAGGGAUUUUGGGGUGAUUUGGGGCGAUUUUGGGGUGCAGGGGGGGAGCCGCUGCCCGAGGUCUCCUCCCGCGUCUUCGAGGACGACGACAACCCCAAACUGAGCUCCACCGAGGUCACCGUCCGGGUGUCUCCGCAGCGGGGGGCCCACGGGCAGCGCCUCGUCUGCUCGGCCUCCAACGAGGCCGGCGGGGACCCGGCGGAGGCGGCCGUCACCGUCAGCGUGCUCUGACGGGACCCCGCUGGCGGCCCCGUGGCAGGCCGAGCGCCCCGCGGGGCCGUCCCAGUGGUCGCACUGGUCGGUUACUGGUGGCACUGGGCCGGAGCCCUGGGCGCACUGGGAGCACUGGGAGCACUGGGAGCUGUCCCGCAGCCGGGUGACGCUGGCGGUGGCCCCGGGGGACGACGGAGCCACCGUGCGGUGUCACAGCCACAGCCCCGCCGGGGGGGGGGGCACGGCCAGCGUCAC
rnacentral:lncRNA from 1 species